UCCCGUCCCGUCCCGUCCCGCCGCCUCACGGCGCCCCGGCGGAGUCACGAGUCGGGGAGUUUCGGGCACUUACGUAACGCCGCGGGGCCGCCGCCGCUGUUUCUCCCCCUUCCCGAAGUCAAAGUCGCUUCCGAGGCCCCCCAAGUCCCUCAACGCCCUGGGACAAGCCAGCACCCGCCACCGCCGCUUCCUUCCCCAGAUCCUUCCCACCCCGCUGCCUCCCUCCCUCCCGGCGGGACGCGGCGCUGCCCCAGCCCCGCAGCGGGACAGCGGAGCUCGACGCCGCCUCUCGCCGGAGGAUCUCCAUCUCCGCCAGGCAGCCCCCAGCUCCCAACAUGGCCGCGGGAAAGCGGCCGGAGCCCCGGCGGAGAAGGGCUCUGUGAAGAAAGUUUCCCUCUCGCUCCUCCGGCCGGACCGAGCUCUCCCCCCCCCCCGCCCGUAACACGGCCAGCCCACGCUCCUCACCCAGUGCACCCCGCUCCGGUCGCCGCCUGCCCCGCUCCCCGCACGGCCGCGGUCAUACACCCCGGGCCGGGGGACGGCCUGCAGGACACCGCCCGGCGGGGCGGGGCCACCGCCAUCUUGGGCGGGAAGGGCUGAGGCGGCACCGCCCUCCCUCCAUUCCCUCAGCAUCGGACUGGCCUCGAGGGCCGUUUUGCGUGGGGAGGGCAGAGAGGAGCGGGGCUCGGCCGUUCCUAACCCUCGAGUGGCACCUCGUGGAGCAGGGAUACUCCAGACACGAGACUAUUGCCUCACGGGCGGUUUUUUGGUGGUUUUUUUGUUUGUUUGUUUUUUUUUUAAACCAACACGUUUCCAUUCUUUGUGUACCAUCCCGUGUUUAUGCUCGUGCUCGUGGCUCUUAAAUACGCUCUCCCAACUGUAAUUCAGUGUGGGCACGUUUUUAACUACCUCUCUGUACUUAAAGUUUUAUACAGUGCACGGAAGGGAAUUAGCAACAUUUUUCAGUCUGAAGAGUUGCCUGGUCAGCAUGGAGAAAGUGUGGCAGGUCUGCCAGAACGGCUCCCACCGGAAACGCUGUCAACACGAAGAGCCCCUUCCAUCUUCUGUGUUAGCAUUUUUAAUGUCUACACAUCAAUAGAGCAAAAUCCACACCAAUAUUUUCCAAAUCUAGCCAGCUACUUGGUAGCUAACCUGAUCCUUCUACGAUUUCCAGCCACUGAUGGAUGGUACAGAGGGGAAAGGUGGCUGGAGUGUUCUGGGGAGCUGCGAAGAGGGCACAGCACCAUGCUCUUUGUAGUGUCAUGCUGGUGCCAAAAUCUGUGCUCUGGAAAAUGGCCCAAGGGGCUUUCUUUUUUAAGAAAAUUUCACUUACAUGCAAUAUACGAGUUUCACUUCCCAAAUUUCACAUUAUUGAGCAAUAAUGUGAUUGGCUUUUUUGAGGAAUAAAAAUAGUUUGGUGGUGGAGUAAUAAUGAACCCACUGAACUUUCUGAAUUUCAUCUGAAUUUUCUGUCCCUGUUCGGACAGGAACACAGAUAGAUACGAGCCAUAUCACUGAGCUGAGUCUCUCCUGGUAUGGAAGAUGGGCACAGGGAAGGGACCAGGGCAUGGAGGGCUGAGCAAGUGUGUCCACCCCCCCCCUAUAGCAUGGCAGCCUGGUCAUCUGCUCCUCCCCAAAUCCUCCUGGUGUUCAGCCUGAGUUGUCCUGUGAUUAUUCUUAGUGUACUAAUUUAUAUAAGGUGUGGACCAAGCUGUUUAACCCAAGGUUUUUAGAAACAGGUGCUUGUGGCAGUUUAAGAAUUCCAGGUCUGAGAGUGCGUGCAGUAUGUAUUUGUCAGGUGCUUCAUGUGUACAGAAUUUUGGCACACCCAAUGUUUAAAUUGGCCACCAGUGCCUUCAUGUUGGGAUUGCCAGCUGCACAGAGAUCUUCACACCACAGCAUCUUUUAUUUAUGGGUUGGGCUAGUUCUUGUGAAUCAAAAUGAUCAGUUUAUGUUGUGACCUGUGGUAGAUUUAAUUUGCCCUCUAAAUCAAUUAUUCUUGACAUCAGAAGCAGCUUCAUGGUUAAUUAACUUUUCUUUCAUGCCUACAAAAUAAUUUUAUAACGUCAGGUUAAGAUACAGCAGAAGGUUGGAUGCAGGCAGAGUGAAACAGUCCUAGUGUUUCUGCCUGUGUGUCCACGUCUUAAUUCUCUUUGUGAAGUCCAAAUUGACAUUGUUUUCUGAAAGGUUUGCAAAGCAUUACAGCAGUGACAUGCUUUUUCUAGCACAUAUAGUCACGGAAUAUCAGCACAAGACUUUAACUCCAAUUAAUAGAAGAAUGAGCAACCUGUUGUCUGAAGAAGAUUGUGAACUAAAAAUGACUUAAUGCUAUCAUGCAGAGCAACUUCAGUGCUAUGAAAGACUGCCAUAAUUUCUUUCUAUUACCUUCCUAUAAUCUUCAGAAUUCUUUUUUUCCUCCUAAAUGAAGUAUUUUUUUUACUGUGUUCAGCAAGAAGGGAAGAUAAACCUGAUAACAGUGUAUGUUUGCAAACCCUCAAACACUUUUUCUUAAAUCUCUCUAUAAAAAAGUAAAUAUUUGACCUAAUUUUUAAGUAGUGUUGAAAAACUUGGCUAAGAGUCAGUGACUCUUGCUUUGUGCUCACUGUACUGAAAUGGCAUAAUGAUCAUGUGUGCUGGUUUCAAUGGAGUUUUUUGUACUUAUCUAUCUUUGCUCUUACAUAUUAACUCUGUAUCUUAGUACUGCAGAUGCAGUCUUGCAAAAAAAAUAGAUUCUACACAGAAAACACAUAGAAGGCAAAGGGUGGGAGACUGUGGGAUGUCCCACUAAACAGAGUAUAUACCAAUUUAUUUUACUAUUUUGUAUAAGUAGGGUAUUUCACAUAAAUUAUUUAAUUGCCAUCUUAAUUUAGCUGAAAAAACUUCUCUCGAAGCGUAGCGUCAUCUAAAAUAACAUUUAUUUUUGCUCUCUAAUUAUAACCUUACUGUUACGGUUUUGCCACAGCUACACUUUAAGGGUAGAGGAAAUAUAUUCUUCAGAAGACAUGAUAUAGCAAUGAUAUACUGCAAUACAUGUCCUAUACUAUGCUUUCUGAAUUGCCUUAUGAUUUUUGAACAGACACUGUUUACAAAGAGCUGUUUCAGGGCUUGCAUUUUCACUUCAGAUCUUCACAAGGAUCACAUGAAAAUUGGAGCAAGUCUGUCUGGUGUUGAGCCAAUGCAAAUAGAUGGUUCAGUAAGUAUUUUUACUUCAUUGUGUCAGUGAGACAUUUGCAUUAUUUAUGAAAGCUUUCAGUAAUGGGCUGUCUACAACUCUCUUGGCUUACAGGUUUCUCUCAAGCAAUUUGAAAAUUGCUGUGAACUUUUCCUUUGUGCUGGCAUAUAAUUUCUGAUGGAACCUACUGAAGUUAUAGCUUUCUUUAACAUAAAAAAAUGUUUAAAUAUUGUCGGCAGUGUUGACGGGUUUUUUUAGCAGCACUAAAAAGGAAUUUUAAAAAAUGUAUAGAAGCCAGGAUACCUGUAGGUUCAGAGAUUUACUGCGUCACAAGACUAUCCUUUAAAAGUGUCUCGGCUUUAAAAGCUGGAGUUGGUGACUUUUUCAAAGUUUUCUGUACAAGUAGACUUGGUUAAUUUGUAAGUGGGAAGGAAUUAUCUACUGGUAGUCAACUGUAGUUUGUUCCAUGGAAGUCAGUUCUCUCUCCCACCAACUCUCUUUUUUUUUUUUUUGUAAGUGCUCAAGUAUCAGUUUUACAAUUAAUGGGACUUGCAACUAGAACCUUGCAACAUAUGUUGUCCUUGGGCUAAAAUAAAAUCUCUCUGCUUCUUAUACAGAUAAAGGUUGUCUAUUCUAUGGUCCACCAGGGACUGGAAAGACAUCACUUGCUUGUGCACUUGCUAAUGAAUGUAGCAGAGAUGACAGAUUUUAAUAGGACAAAUUUCAACUACAGAAGAGACAUAACACCUCUCAAAGAGAGAACAUUUUAUAGAUAGUCAUGACUUUAGAUAGUCAUUUAUCGUUAUAAACAAUACGCUCUGAAGAGUCACUCGAGUGCAGCUGCUUCCUUGUACCAUACAUCUCCUAAGCAGUCAAUACAGUUCAUGCAGCUGACACUACAUGAAACAGCCUCAGCCUUGCUAAGCGGGGAUGGAAUUAUCUCCAGAGAAACUGUUUUUCAAGAAUCACACAAUGGUCUGGGUUGGAAGGGACCAUAUAGAACAUCUAGUUCCAAACCUGCUGCCAUGGGCAGGGACACCUUCCACUAGACCAAGUUGCCCAAAGCCCCAUCCAACCUGGCCUUGAACACUUCAGGGAUGGGGUACCCAGCUUCUCUGGCCAAUCUGUGCCUGAAACAGACACUGAUCUAGCAGAAAGUGAUGCAAAUCUGCUGAUUCCAUAAACCUGAGAUUUUAUCUGAAAGAAUGCAACACAGGGGCACAACUGAAACACGAAGUAACCACUGCCCCAGACCACCCACUCCAGCUUUCCUUACAGGCUUCCACGGAAGACUUGCUCUGCCAAGUUCAGGGAAAGACAAAAGAAACCAUUACAGAAGUGGAAUGAGCUCCUGCCUAUAGAGUGUCUGUCUUUGGCUGCAGUAUGUGGACAAGACAAAGGCUCCUGAAGUGUUUGUUUUAUCCAGACUGACUUGGAAGGAGGAAACUGUAACCACAGCCAUUCAUUUAUAUUUUAAAAAAAUACCCUGUUGAAGCAUAAUCAUCUUCAUCAGAACUUGAAUGACCAUACCACUCACAGGUUUUAUGUUCUUAAACUACACAAAAAUUACCAUGUUUCUGCCUGCUUUCAACACAGGACAUGAGGAGAAGAAAGAAUUCAGAUAUUAUACCAUUUCUAGACCCAAAGUAAAACUUUGGCUUUCACAAAUAAGCAUUUCUGCAAAAUGAGUUGAGAUGCAUCUGACAGGAAAGACUUAAGAGCACUUUCAAGUUGGAAAGCAGAUUAUCACCAACUAUAAAACUAAGUUUGAGCUCAGUAAAUAACAAUUUACAUUGCACAAACAGAACUUGAGUUACUACACACAAAGGGCAUUUCGGACCACUUCCCACAUUCAGCCUGUGGCUGUCAAUAUGCUGCCUGGAGCUAAUGGAUUUUCCCUGCUGCCAGCAAGCGACCUCACAGCACCAAGCCUGCUUGUGUACUCAGCACAGCAAUUUGGUUCCAAGGAAUGUUCAGUUUGUUAUCCUCCCAGGAUAUUCCUGUGGAAGAACAUGAAAAUGUAGUUCAAGGAUGACAGAAAAAUUGGUCAGAAAAUGAGAGAGUGAUCUUUGUGGCUAAGUCUCCUUCUGGAAAGAAGAGUGUCAUGCCUCCUGAACAUUCUGACCUAAGAGAGGAGAGUGAAAUGCUGGAUUGACAAAGAGCGGGAACUUCUGAAGACGGAGGUUCAAAUUGUACACGAUGCUUCACUGGUACCAUAUUCCAGAUAGAGAAAUCCCAGCUUAAGACAUUUGUGCCAUUCCAGAUUCAUGGCUACACCGUAUGACUCAUGCGCAGUGUUCUCUGGUGGAUGAGCAACCACGAGUAUGUGAUGGGAGAGCAAUGAAAAUUUACACACAGGGAGCAUUUGUGGAUUACUCUGAGCUCAGA